UACGUAGGAGGCGAGCGUUGUCCGGAUUUACUGGGCGUAAAGCGCGCGCAGGCGGCACUUCAAGUACGGUGUGAAAUCUCCCUGCUCAACGGGGAGGUGCAUUGUAAACUGGAGAGCUAGAGGACGGUAGAGGGGGUAGAAUUGCUGGUGGUAGCGGUGAAAUGCGUAGAGAUCAGCAGGAAUACCCGUGGCGAAGGCGGCCCCUGGCCGAUACUGACGCUGAGGAGCGAAAGCGUGGGGAGCGAAC
rnacentral:rRNA from 1 species